GGGUAUAUAGCUCAGUGGUAAAAUAUUCAACUGCACUUUGAGAGGUCUCCGGUUCGAGCCCGGGUGUUCCCU